GACGAACGCUGGCGGCGUGCCUAAUACAUGCCAGUUGAGCGCUGAAGGUUGGUACUUGUACCAACUGGAUGAGCAGCGAACGGGUGAGUAACGCGUGGGGAAUCUGCCUUUGAGCGGGGGACAACAUUUGGAAACGAAUGCUAAUACCGCAUAAAAACUUUAAACACAAGUUUUAAGUUUGAAAGAUGCAAUUGCAUCACUCAAAGAUGAUCCCGCGUUGUAUUAGCUAGUUGGUGAGGUAAAGGCUCACCAAGGCGAUGAUACAUAGCCGACCUGAGAGGGUGAUCGGCCACAUUGGGACGGAGACACGGCCCAAACUCCUACGGGAGGCAGCAGUAGGGAAUCUUCGGCAAUGGACGAAAGUCUGACCGAGCAACGCCGCGUGAGUGAAGAAGGUUUUCGGAUCGUAAAACUCUGUUGGUAGUGAAGAACGUUGGUGAGAGUGGAAAGCUCAUCAAGUGACGGUAACUACCCAGAAAGGGACGGCUAACUACGUG
rnacentral:rRNA from 1 species